GACGAACGCUGGCGGCGUGCUUAACACAUGCAAGUCGAACGGAAAGGCCCUGCUUUUGUGGGGUUCUCGAUUGGGGAACGGGUGAGUAACACGUGAGUAACCUGCCCUUGUCUUUGGGAUAACUUUUGGAAACUGGGGCUAAUACAGGAUAGGAGCUCUUGAUGCAUGGUGGUGGUUGGAGAGUUGCGGCGGUUGGGGUUGGUCUCGCUGGUUAUGGGCUUGUUUGGGGGGUUGUGGCUUUCCAAGGCUUUGAUGGGUAGCCGGCCUGGGAGGGUGAACGGCCUCAUUGGGACUGAGAGACGGCCCAGACUGCUACGUGCGGCAGCGGUCGGAAAUAUUGCACAAUGGGCGGAAGCCUGAUGCAGCAACGCCGCGUGCGGGAUGACGGCUUUCGGGGUGUAAACCACUUUCGCCUGUGACGAAGCGUGCGUGACGGUAAUGGGUAAAGAAGCACCGGCUAACUACGUG
rnacentral:rRNA from 1 species